GAUGCACUUACACAUUCUCUCUCUCUCUCUUUCUCUCUUUCAUCUUCAACUCUUCUUUACCCAGCAAGAGGCGGGUGUCCAACAAAUUGCUUGGCAACGCGCGGAGGAAACUCCAUCCAAAGCCCGGGUCUGCCGGGUCCAGCCGCCUCUGGGCGCUGUCCAGCGGGCAGAGCGCCUGAGAGGCCAGGCAGGGGUCCUGUCUCCGGACACCCCGAAGACAAAUACAGAAUUGUGGCUCAUAGUGGAACUGACAUCCUUCCCCACAGAGGAUGAAGGGACUUGCAGAGGACUUGAGGAGGUGGUGCCUUGAGACCCCUGGAGGAAAACACACCAAGGAUAACAAACAAUUCCAUUUAACUUGAUAGAGUUCCAGCUCUCAUGGCUGCAACAGUCAGAUCCUGCGGGAGAGCCUUCACACAGCUUCCCAGACACUCCAUCUGGGGUUAAUCUGCAAUCAAGAAGCCCAGGAGGGUGGAGAUUUGGCAACCCCCUUCCCCAAACCCUUCUCCUCUCCAGCUGGCUCAGAAAAGCUUCACAUUUGCAGCUUCCAUGGCAAUUACAAGAACCUACUCCCUCUUAUUGUUUUUCUUUUCCCGAUGAUGGAGCAAUCACAUGAUUUCAACAGGAAAAACAACUCUGGAAUCAGAGACUGUCUGAACUGAGCCACAGACUUUCUGGUCUCCAGGUCUGAGUCCCUGGAGGGAAAAGACAUUUGAUGCUGGUGGGAUGGGGGAUGAGCUGGACAAGAAGCAUGACCGGCAUAUGCUCAUACCAGGGCGGCCAACUGAACAGGUUCUGUUUCAGGAUUAAAAACAGUACAAACCCAGCUAGGAGCUCGUAUUUACUGAGUGCUGAGGACCAGGCACUUUACAGGUGUUGUCAAA